rnacentral:rRNA from 1 species
UUAUGUCAGGCACGGUCGCAGAGAUGUGACUUCUCUCUCGAGAGCUGGAACACAGGUGCUGCAUGGCUGUCGUCAGCUCGUGUCGUGAGAUGUUGGGUUAAGUCCCGCAACGAGCGCAACCCCCGUCCUUAGUUGCUACCAUUUAGUUGAGCACUCUAAGGAGACUGCCGGUGAUAAGCCGCGAGGAAGGUGGGGAUGACGUCAAGUCCUCAUGGCCCUUACGGGCUGGGCUACACACGUGCUACAAUGGCGGUGACAAUGGGACGCUAAGGGGCAACCCUUCGCAAAUCUCAAAAAGCCGUCUCAGUUCGGAUUGGGCUCUGCAACUCGAGCCCAUGAAGUUGGAAUCGCUAGUAAUCGUGGAUCAGCACGCCACGGUGAAUACGUUCCCGGGCCUUGUACACACCG